CCUACGGGAGGCAGCAGUGGGGAAUAUUGGUCAAUGGGCGCAAGCCUGACCCAGCAACGCCGCGUGAAGGAAGAAGGCUUUCGGGUUGUAAACUUCUUUUCUCAGGGACGAAGAGAGUGACGGUACCUGAGGAAUAAGCCACGGUUAAAUACGUGCCUGCAGUCCGGGCAAUACGUAGGUGGCAAUCGUUAACCGGAUUUAUGUGGUGUAAAGGGCGUGUAGGCGGGAGCGCAAGUCAGACGUGAAAAUUCAGGGCUCAAACCUGAGCCUGCAUUUGAAACUGUGUUUCUUGAGUGCUGGAGAGGCACUCGGAAUGCCGGGUGUAGCGGUGAAAUGCGUAGAUAUACGGAGGAACACCAGUGGCGAAGGCGGAUUGCUGGACAGUAACUGACGCUGAGGCGCGAAAGCGUGGGGAGCAAACAGGAUUAGAUACCCCUGUAGUC
rnacentral:rRNA from 1 species